GAUGAACGCUGGCGGCGUGCCUAAUACAUGCAAGUCGAGCGAACAGACGAGGAGCUUGCUCCUCUGACGUUAGCGGCGGACGGGUGGGUAACACGUAGAUAACCUACCUAUAAGACUGGGAUAACUUCGGGAAACCGGAGCUAAUACCGGAUAAUAUAUUGAACCGCAUGGUUCAAUAGUGAAAGACGGUUUUGCUGUCACUUAUAGAUGGAUCCGCGCCGCAUUAGCUAGUUGGUAAGGUAACGGCUUACCAAGGCAACGAUGCGUAGCCGACCUGAGAGGGUGAUCGGCCACACUGGAACUGAGACACGGUCCAGACUCCUACGGGAGGCAGCAGUAGGGAAUCUUCCGCAAUGGGCGAAAGCCUGACGGAGCAACGCCGCGUGAGUGAUGAAGGUCUUCGGAUCGUAAAACUCUGUUAUUAGGGAAGAACAAAUGUGUAAGUAACUAUGCACGUCUUGACGGUACCUAAUCAGAAAGCCACGGCUAACUACGUG
rnacentral:rRNA from 1 species